rnacentral:lncRNA from 1 species
UCGUAUCGGUCGGUACUGCUGGUCUGAGAUUGUGAGAUACGGUGCGGUGUAAUAUAAAAAUUUCCAGUAGCCUAAUUUGCAUUGUGGACUAAAGUGAGAACUUGACUGGAAUCUUUUGGUUACGACCGACAGGGGCGCAAGUACUGGUCUCUUCCAUACGCAUCAUUGUCAAAGAAGCUGGCAGCCAGGAAGAACAUAUUUGACGAUGACGAAGGAACUGUUGCCGAGGAGGUCCUUAAGACUACGUUGGGCAGGAUACAUGAAGACCAUUGUACCCAAGCAAUCCUCUUGACCUCAGUAAGGACUAGGCGCCAAUAAGGAGAGACCCCGCAAAUGUUACUUGUCGCAUAAGUUCUCCGUUGCCCAAACGUUAUCACGUCCAUUAUGCCAUAGGCCUUAAACACCAGAAACACCAAGGGUAUGAAAUUCAUCUAAAGUUACUGUCAAUUGAGUUCGACCGUAUCACGGAGUGAAGCAUCUAGCCCGAUGUCAUUCAAGAUUUCCAUCACGGCCCCAAGAAUUCAUAGGAAUUCAAAUGGAAAGAAUUCAAUGAAUUCAUAGGAGGAAACGUGAAAGGGUCGUGGCCGUCGUGCAGCCUAACGUCAACUAUUUUGUUCUAAAUCAUUGUAUUCUACUGAUUGUACCAUGGAAAUUAUACAGGUUUCGCGUUUAUGUUCGCGUAAUUGCUGUCCGAUGUGGCACGUUGUUGCAGCCUAUGCUGGUGAAAGAUCUUUCUACAUCAAAUUCAAUUAGCCGUUCCUUGGUGCUGAUUUCGUGUUACCGAAGUUGCAUCAUAUUUUGUUAAAUUGUCAUCGUAACUAUGCAGUUCACCGUUUAUAAGUUCAGAAGCAACAAAAACAAAGAUGGGAUGUUUAUGUCAACAAAUAAUAAACAUGUUUCCGGGAUUGGGAAAGGAAAGUGGAGGGGAGAGAGAGGAUAUUUCAAGUAUGGAUAAAAAUUCCGUUAAUCUAUAAAACUAUAACCCUACAAACGUAUCCCUACCAACUAAUCUCCAAACCCCACAAACAUUUACCUUCCGAUUCUUCAAACCCCGAAAACAUACACCUACCAACCCUUGAAUUUAUACCCUUAACCCUA